rnacentral:tRNA from 1 species
ACUUCCGUUGAAGCCCCUAAAGGGGAAUUCGGCGUAUACCUUGUUGCUGAUGGAACAAACAGGCCAUACCGUUGUAAAAUA